UGUGAUUGGUCCUUUUACCCUUUGUGUCCCAGUCUCCCAUUUGGUCCCCUAGGGGAGUGUCCACCAGGUGGGAGACCUGCAUAAAAGCCGGGCAGUUAGCCCCAGUAAAUCAGUUCCUGCUUAACCCUCAAAGUGAAGUGUCGUCUCAUUAUUGGGGGAGGAUUUACUGUAUGCUGUUAGAGAGGGAGUUGGUGAAUUCGUGGGUUUGCAGUUCAG